ensembl:misc_RNA Metazoa_SRP Metazoan signal recognition particle RNA
GCUGGGGCAGUGGUGCGUUUCUGUAGUCCCAGCUACUCGGGAGGCUGAGGUGGGAGGAUCGCUUGAACCCAGGAGUUCUGGGCUGCAGUGCGCUAUGUCGAUCGGGUCUCCGCACUAAGUUCGGCAUCAAUAUGGUGACCUCCCGGGAGUGGGGGCCCACCAGGUUGCCUAAGGAGGCGUGAACUGGCCCAGGUCAGAAACGGAGCAGGUCAAAACUCCUGUGCUGAUCAAUAGUGGGAUGGUGCCUGUGAAUAGCCACCGCACUCCAGCCUGGGCAACAUAGCAAGACCCCGUCUCUA